UGGGCUUAUUUGCAGGGGACAUGUAUUUAGUAUUCAAGUCACAAAUCAAUGUUCUCAUAGGAGGGUAUUUAAUCUGUAAUUAAAUGUCUUAUUCACAGCUGGACAUAGUUAGUUAUAUACUUCAUGUAAAUACAUGUUAAACGACAGGUCAUACUUGCUUUAUGAGAAAAUUAGAUACAAAAAUAAACAUGCAAUUUACAUUUUAAAAUUC
rnacentral:lncRNA from 1 species